rnacentral:rRNA from 1 species
AACGCGAAGAACCUUACCCAGGUUUGACAUACAGUGGAAGUUAGCAGAAAUGUUAACGCUCUUCGGAGCCGCUGAACAGGUGCUGCAUGGCUGUCGUCAGCUCGUGCCGUGAGGUGUUGGGUUAAGUCCCGCAACGAGCGCAACCCUUAUCAUUAGUUGCCAACACGUAAUGGUGGGAACUCUAAUGAGACUGCCCGGGUUAACCGGGAGGAAGGUGAGGAUGACGUCAAGUCCGCAUGGCCCUUACAUCUGGGGCUACACACGUGCUACAAUGGUCGGUACAGAGGGAAGCGAAACCGCGAGGCGAAGCAAAUCCCAUAAAGCCGGCCCCAGUUCAGAUUGUAGUCUGCAACUCGACUACAUGAAGCCGGAAUUGCUAGUAAUGGCGAGUCAGCAACAUCGCCGUGAAUACGUUCCCGGGCCUUGUACACACCGGUACUA